rnacentral:rRNA from 1 species
CCUACGGGGGGCAGCAGUCAAGAACAUUCGACAAUGGGCGAAAGCCUGAUCGAGCGACGCCGCGUGCAGGAAGAAAGACUUCGGUCUGUAAACUGCUUUUGCGUGGGAAGAAUUUUGACGGUACCACGAGAAUAAGGGGUUGCUAACCUCGUGCCAGCAGCAGCGGUAAUACGAGGACCCCGAGCGUUAUCCGGAAUUACUGGGCGUAAAGAGCGAGUAGCCGGCUUUGUUAGUCAGAUGUUAAAUCCUGGAGCUUAACUCCAGGGCUGCGUUUGAAACGGCAAAGCUUGAGCGGCUGAAAGGCACAUGGAACGUGCGGUGUAGGGGUGAAAUCCACUGAUAUUGCACGGAACACCAAAAGCGAAGGCAGUGUGCUGGCAGUCUGCUGACGGUCAAUCGCGAAAGCGUGGAUACGGAAAAGGAUUAGAUACCCGAGUAGUC